AUUUGCGUAUUUUGGAUAUGGCAUAUGAAUGGAAUCAUACAAUUUGUGUCUGAUCUCUCACUUAGAAUAAUGUUUUCAAGACCCAUUUAUGUUGUAGUUGUAUAUCAAUACUUUGUCCCUUUUUAUGACUGAACAAUAUUCUAUUAUGUGGAUAUACCAUCUUUUGUUUAUCCAUUCAUCUGUUGAUGGACAUUGAGGGUCAUCCUGUGUUUCACUAUUGUGGAUAGUGCUCCUAUGAACAUUCACGUACAAAUAUUUGUUUGAAUACAUGCUUUCAGUUGUUUUGGGUAUAUACCUAGGAGUGAAAUUGCUGGGUGAUAUGGUAAUUUUACAUUUAAUUUAUUGUGAAACUGACAGUUUUCCACAGCAGGGUGCUUUGCAAUCCAUAGGAAUUUUUAGUUAGCUUUUCUAUUUCUGCAAAAGAGUAUGUUGAGUUUUUGAUAAGUAUUGCACUGGGUAGGUAUUAGAGUGAGUGAUAACACUUUGGGGAGUGUUAUCUUAAUAUUAAAUCUUAAAAUCAAUGAACAUAAGAUUUUUUUUCCCCUAGGUGUUCUUUCCUUCAUUAAUGUUUUGUAGUUUUCAGUGUACAAGUGUUGCAUAUCCUUGCUUAAAUUUAUUAAAUAGUUUUUCAUUUAAAUGCUAUUGUAAAUUAUAUGAAAUUCAGACUUCAGUGUCUGAAGAUAACACUUUCUAUAAAGUUUUGUCGGGACUCAGCCAUACUCAUGUAUUUAUGUAUAGUCUGUGGGUACUUUCACACUAUGAGGACAGAGUUGACUAGUCGCAGUAGAGACUGUAAUGUCCCACAAGCCUAAAAUUUCUUUUGUUUAAAUGCUAUUGUAAGUGGAAUUGUUAAUUUGCCUUUUGACUGCUCAUUGUAAUGAGUACACAACUAAUUUUUGAGUGUUGAUCUUGUAUCUUGUAAUUUUGCUGAAUUUGUUUCCUACUUCUAGUAGUUUCUUUGUGGAUUCUUUAGUAUUUUCUGCAUAUAAGAUCAUGUAAUCUGCAAACAAAACUAUUUUAUUUCUUUCUUUCCAGUUUGGGUUUAUUUAUUUAUUUACUUAACCUAAUUGCUCUGGCUGGAAUUUUUAGUACAAUGUUGAAUAUAUGUGGCCAAAGCAGGCAUCUUUAUUUAUUGUUAGUUUUUUGUUUUAGCAGUCUUAACCAUUUUGGGAUGUACAGUUCAGAAGCAGUGUUAAGUAUAUUCAUAUUGUACAUCUGAUCACCACAACUUUUUCAUCUUGGGAACAUGAAAUUCUCUACCCAUUAAACAAUAACUCCCCAUUUUCCCCUCCUCCUUGCCCCUGGCGACCACCAUCCUACUUUCUGUUUCUAUGAGUUUCACUGUUUUUCCUAUAUCUCAUAUAAGUGAAAUCAUACAGUAUUUGUCUUAUUGUGACUGGCUUAUUUCACCUAGCAUAGUGUCCUCAAGCUUCCUCAGUGUUGUAGCAUGUGUCAGAAUUUAUCUCCUUUCUAAUGUUGAAUGAUAUUUCAUUGUACCGAUGUUUUGUUUAUUCAUUCAACUGUCAGUGGACAUUUGGGUUCCUUUCUCCUUUUAACUGUUGUGAAUAAUACUACUGUGAACAUGGGGUACAACUAUUCUUUGAGAUCCUUCUUUCAGUUCUUUUGGUUAUAUACUCAGAAGUGGUAUGGCUGGAACCUAUGGUAAUUCUAUUUUUAAUUUCUUGAGGAAACAUCGACCUGUUUUCUACAGGAAGUGCACCAUUUUGCAGUCCCAUCCUCAGUGUACAGGAUUCUGAUUUCUCCAUAUCCUUGCCAACACUCGUUAUUUUCUUUUGUUGUUUUGAUAGCAGCCAUUGUAAUGGGUGUAUGGUAAUUUUUCCUUGUGGUUUUGAUUUAUAUUUCCCUAAUGAUUAGUGAUGUUGAGCAUAUUUUCACAAGCUUGCUGACCAUUUAUGUAUCUUUUAUGGAGAAAUGUCUGUUCAAGUCCCUUGUCCAUCUUUGAAUCAGGUUAUUUUGUUUGUUUUGAGUUCUAGGGGUUCUUUAUAUAUUUUUUAUAGUAAUUUGUCAUCAGAUACAUGAAUUGCAAAUGUUUCCUCUUGUUGUGUUGGUUGUCUUUUCAUUCAGUUAACUGUGUCCUUUGAUGCACAAUUUUUAAGUUUGAUGUAGUCCAAUUUAUUUUUACUUCUGUUGCCUGUGGUUUUUGGUAUUAUAUCCGAGAAAACAUUGCCACACGAAUCCAUUCUCCUAUGUGUUCUGCCGUGAGUUUUGUAACUUUAGUUCUUAGAUUUAGGUCUUUGAUUCAUUUUGAGUUAAUUUUUUUUUGUAGUUUUGUUUUGCAUGUGGCUAUCCAGUUUUAUCAACACUAUUUGUUAGAAAAAUUGUCCUUUCCCUAUUGACUGUUCUUGAAAACUUUGUUGAAAAUCAUUUUACCACACAUGCAUGGGUUUUCAAGAUUAUUUUGGCUAGUUGAGAUCCCUUGAAAUUCCAUGUAAACUUCAGGAUGAUUUAUUUCUAUUUCUGUUACUAUGUCUCCUUUGUAAACUGACCUUUUUUUUUUUUUUAUCAAUAUGUAGUGUUUUCCUCUUGUAACAAUUUUUAAUUUAAAGUCUUUUUUAUUUCAGUAUAGCCACGCUGGUAUUCUUUAGGUUACUAUCCUCUUCUGUCAUUUCAGUUUCAACCUAUUGUGUUGUGUGUUUGUAUCUAAAGAGAGUGUCUUGUAGACAAUAUAUACCUGGAUCAUAUAUUUGUAUUUAUUUUGCCAAUUUCUUUUUAUUUUAUUUUAUUUUAUUUUUUUUGAGACAGAGUCUUACUGUGUUGCCCAGGCUGGAGUGCAGUGGUGCGAUCUUGACUCUCUGCAACCUCCGCCUCCAGGGUUCAAGCAGUUCUUCUGCCUCAGCCUCCCGAGUAGCUGGGAUUACAGGUGCACACCACUACACCUGGCUAAUUUUUUUUUUUUUUUUUUUUUUUUUUUUUUUUUUUUUUUUUUUUUUUUUUUUUUUUUUUUAAAAAUUUUUUUUUUAUUAUUUCAGUCUUUUAAAAUUUACUGAGAUUUAUUUUGUGCCCUAAUCUGUGGGCUUCCCUGUAGACUGUUUCUUGUGCACUUGAGAAUAAUGUAAUAUUCUGCUAUUGGUAGGUGGAGUAUUCCACAUACUUCUCUUAGGCCUACUUGGUUUAUACCAUUAUUCAAAUACUCUGUUUUCUUACUGAUCUUCUGUCUGGAUAUUCUAUCCAUUAAUGAAAGCAGAGUAAUGAAGUGUCCAACUGUUAUUACCAAACUCUGCAUUUCUUCAUUUAAAUCUGUCAAUGUUUGCUUUAUGUAUUUGGUUCUAUUUUCUUUGAUCCACAUAUGUUUGCAAUUGAUUUUUUUUAUUAACACUUUUCCAGUUGUAUAAUGUCCUUUGUCUCUUGUAACAGUUUUUUACUUAAAGUCUGCUUUUUUUGUUGUUGUUAUUUUUUGUUUUUGUGGUAUCAGUGUAGUUACCCAGCACUCUUUUGGUUAUUAUUUGCAUAAAUAUCUUUCUUUGUCCUUUCACAUUCAGCUUACUGGCUUUGGAUCUACAAUGAGUUUCUUGGAGACAGCUUAUGGUUAGAUCUUUUUAUUUUGUUCCCCUUAUUUUCUGUUUUUAAUUUUUAUGGAUACAUAGUGAGUAUAUAUAUUUAUGUGAUUUAUAUACAUGAGAUAAAAUAUCUCGAUAUAGGCCUACAAUGUGUAAAAUCACAUCAGAGUGAGUGGGGUGUCCAUCACCUCCAGCACUUAUCCUUUCUUUGUGUUACAAUCAAAUUAUACUCUUAAUUAUUUUAAAAUGUACAAUAAAUUAUUGUUGGGAUUUGCUGGCAAGAUGGCUGAAUAGGAACAGCUCUGAUCUGCAGCUCCCAGAGAGAUUGACGCAGAAUGCGGGUGAUUUCUGCAUUUUCAACUGAGGUACAUGGGUCGUCUCACUGGGACUGGUGGGACACUCAGUGCCGCCCAUGGAGGGUGAGCCGAAGCAGGAUGGGGCGUCGUCUCACCCAGGAAGUGCAACGGGUCUGGGAACUCCCUCUCCUAGCCAAGGAAAGACAUUAGGGACUGAGCCGUGAGAAAUGGUGCACUCUGGCCUAGAUACUGCACUUUCACACAGUCUUCACAACCUGCAGACCAGGAGAUUCCCUCUGGUGCCUAUGCCACCAGGGCCUGGGUUUCAGGCACAAAACUGGGCAGCCAUUUGGGCAGACACCAAGCUAGCUGCAGGAGUUUUUUUUUUUCAUACCCUAGUGGUGCCUGGAACACCAGUGAGACAGAACCAUUCGCUCCCCUGGAAAGGGGGCUGAAGCCAGGGAGCCAGUGGCCUGGCUCGGCAGGUCCUACCCCCACGGAGCCCAGCAAGCUAAGAUCCACUGGCUUGAAAUUCUCACUGCCAGCCUAGCAGUCUGAGCUCAACCUGGGAUACUCAAACCUGAUGGGAGGAGGGGCGUCUGCCAUUGCUGAGGCUUGAGUAGGCAGUUUUACCCUCAGUGUAAACAAAGCUGCCUGGAAGAUCGAACUGGGUGGAACGCACCACAGCUCAGCAAGGCUGAGACUGCCUCUCUAGAUUCUUCCUCUCUGGGCAGGGCAUCUCUGACAAAAAAGGCAGCAUCCCCAGUCAGGGGCUUAUAGAUAAAACCCCCCCAUCUCCUUGGGAUAGAGCACCUGGGGGAAGGGGCGGCUGUGGGCACAGUUUCAGCAGACUUAAAGGUUCCUUCCUGACGGCUCUGAAGAGAGCAGCAGAUCUCCCAGCACAGCAUUCAAGCUCUGCUAAAGGUCAGACUGCCUCCUCAAGUGGGUCACUGACCCCCAUGUCUCCUGACUGGGAGACACCUUCCAGUAGGGGCCGACAGACACCUCAUACAGGAGAGCUCCAGCUGGCCUCUGGCAGGUGCCCCUCUGGGACAAAGCUUCUAGAGGAAGGAACAGGCAGCAAUCUUUGCUGUUCGGCAGCCUCCACUGGUGAUAUCCAGGCAAACAGGGUCUGGAGUGGACCUCCAGCAAACUCCAGCAGACCUGCAGCAGAGGGGCCUGACUGUUAGAAGGAAAACUAACAAACAAAAAGGAAUAACAUCACCAUCAACAAAAAGGACAUCCACUCAGAGACCCCAUCUGAAGGUCACCAACAUCAAACACCAAAGGUAAAUAAAUCCAUGAAGAUGGGGAGAAACCAGUGCAAAAGACUGAAAAUUCCAAAAACCAGAAUGCCUCUUCUCCUCCAAAGGAUCACAACUCCUUGCCAGCAAGGGAACAAAACUUGAUGGAGAAUGAGUUUGACAAAUUGACAGAAGUAGGCUUCAGAAGGUGGGUAAUAAUAACUAACUACUCCACGCUAAAGGAGCAUGUUCUAUCCCAAUGCAAGGAAGCUAAGAACAUUGAAAAAAGGUUAGAUGUAUUGCUAACUAGAAUAACUUGUUUAGAGAAGAACAUAAAUCACCUGAUGGAGCUGAAAAACACAGCACGAGAACUUCAUGAAGCAUACACAAGUAUCAAUAGCUGACUCGAUCAAGCGGAAGAAAGGAUAUAAGAGAUUUAAGAUCAGAUUAAUGAAAUAAAGUGAGAAGACAAGAUUACAGAAAAAAGAACGAAAAGGAAUGAACAAAGUUUCCAAGAAAUACAGGGCUAUGUGAAAAGACCAAAUCUAUGUUUGAUUGGUGUACCUGAAAGUGAUGAGGAGAAUGGAAACAAGUUGAAAAACACUCUGAAGGAUAUUAUCCAGGAGAACUUUCCCAACCUAGCAAGAGAGGCCAACAUUCAAAUUCAGGAAAUACAGAGAAUACCACAAAGAUACUCCUUAAAAAGAGCAACUCCAAGACACAUAAUCAUCAGACUCAGCAAGGUUGAAAUGAAGGAAAAAAUUUUAAGAGCAGCGAGAGAGUAAGGUCAGUUCACCCACAAAAAAGGGAAGCCCAUCAGACUAACAGCAGAUCUCCCUGCAGAAACCCUACAAGCCAGAAGAGAGUGGGUGCCAAUAUUCAACAUUCUUAAAGAAAAUAAUUUUCAACUCAGAAUUUCAUAUCCAGCCAAACUAAGCUUCAUAAGUGAAGGGGAAAUAAAAUCCUUUACAGACAAGCAAAUUCUGAGAGAUUUUGUCACCACCAGGCCUGCCUUACUAGAGUUCCUGAAGGAAGCACUAAACAUGGAAAGGAACAACCAGUACCAGCCACUGCAACAACAUACCAAAUUAUAAAGACCAUUGACACUAUGAAAAAACUGCAUCAACUAAUGGGCAAAAUAACCAGCUAGCAUCAUAAUGACAGGAUCAAAUUCACAUAUAACAAUAUUAACCUUAAGUGUAAACGGGCUAAAUGCCCCAAUUAAAAGACACGGACUGGCAAAUUGGAUAAAGAGUCAACACCCAUCAGUGUGCUGUAUUCAGGAGACCCAUCUCAUGUGCAAAGACACACAUCAAAAAAAAGGGAUGGAGGAAUAUUUACCAAGCAAAUGGAAAGCUAAAAAAGCAGGGGUUACAAUCUUAGUCUCUGAUAAAACAGACUUUAAACCAAUGAAGAUCAAAAGAGACAAGAGCAUUACAUAAUGGUAAAGAGAUCAAUGCAACAAGAAGAGCUAACUAUCCUAAAUAUAUAUGCACUCAAUACAGGAGCACCCAGAUUCAUAAAGCAAGUUCUUAGAGACCUACAAAGACACUUAGACUCCCACACAAUAAUAGUGGGAGACUUUAACACCCCACUGUCAAUAUUAGUUCAACAAGACAGAAAAUUAACAAGGUUAUUCAGAACUUUAACUCAGCUCUGGACCAAGCAGACCUAAUAGACAUCUAAAGAACUCUCCCACCCAAAUCAACAGAAUAUGUAUUCUUCUCAGCACCACAACACAUUUAUUCUAAAAUUGACCACAUAAUUGGAAGUAAAACACUCCUCAGCAAAUGCAAAAGAAUGGAAAUCAUAACAAUCUCUCAGAACACAGUGCAAUGAAAUUAGAUAUCAGGAUUAGGAAACUCACUCAAAACUGCACAAUUACAUGAAAACUGAACAACCUGCUCCUGAAUGACUGCUGGGUAAAUAACGAAAUUAAGGCAGAAAUAAAGAAGUUAUUUAAAACCAAUGAGAACAAAGACAUAACAUACCAGAAUCUCUGGGACACAUUUAAAGUAGUGUCUAGAGGGAAAUUUGUAGCACUAAAUGUCCACAACAAGAAAGGAGGAAAGACGUAAAAUAGACACCCUAACAUCACAAUUAAAAGAACUAGAGAAGCAAGAGCAAACAAAUUCAAAAGCUGGCAGAAGAUAAGAAAUAACUAAGAUCAGAGCAGAACUGAUGGAGAUAGAGAUACAAAAAACCCUUCAAAAAAUCAAUGAAUCCAGGAGCUGUUUUUUUGAAAAGAUCAACAAAAUAGAAUAGCCAGAAGAAUAAAUAAGAAAAGAGAGAAGAAUCAAAUAGAUGCAAUAAAAAAUGAUAAAAGGACUGUCACUACUGAUCCCACAGAAAUACAAACUACCAUCAGAUAAUACUAUAAACACCUCUAUGCAAAUAAACUGGAAAAUCUGAAGAAAUGGAUAGAUUCCUGGACACCAUACACCCUCCCAAGUCUAAAGCACGAAGAAGUCAAAUCCCUGAAUAGACCAAUAACAAGUUCUGAAAAUGAGGAAAUAAUAGCCUACCAACCAAAAAAAGGUCUAGGACCAGACGGAUUCACAGCCAGAUACUACCAGAGGUACAAAGAGGAGAAGAUACCAUUCCUCUGAAACUAUUCCAAGUAAUAGAAAAAGAGAGAAUCCACUCUAACUAAUUUUAUGAGGCCAACAUCAUCCUGAUACCAAAACCUUGGAGGGACACAACAGAAAAAGAAAAUUUCAGGCCAAUAUCCCUGAUGAACAUCUAUGCAAAAAUCCUCAAUAAAAUACUGUCAAACCAAAUCCAGCAGCACAUCAAAAAGCUUAUCCACCACAAUCAAGUCGGCUUCAUCCCUGGGAUGCAGGGCUGGUUCAAUAUAGGCAAAUCAAUAAACAUAAUCCAUCACAUACACAGAACCAAUGAAAAAAACCACAUGAUUAUCUCAAUAGGUGCAGAAAACGCCUUUGACAAAAUUAAACACCUUUUCAUGCUAAAAACUCUCAAUAAACUACGUAUUGAUGGAAUGUAUCUCAAAAUAAUAAGAGCUAUUUAUGACAAACCCACAGCCAAUAUACUGAAUGGGCAAAAACUGGAAGCAUUCCCUUUGAAAACCAGCACAAGACAAGGAUGCCCUCUCUUACUACUCCUAUUCAACAUAAUAUUGGAAGUUCUGGCCAAGGCAUUCAGGCAAGAGAAAGAAAUAAAGGGUAUUCAUAUGGGAAAAGAGGAAGUCAAAUUGUCUCUGUUUGCAGAUGACAUGAUUGUAUAUUUAGAAAACUCCAUCGUGUCAGCCCAAAAUCUCCUAAAGCUGAUAAGCAACUUCAGAAAUGUCUCAGGAUACAAAAUCAUUGUGCAAAAAUCACAACCAUUCCUAUACACCAAUAAUAGACAAACAGCCAAAUCAUGAGUGAACUCCCAUUCACAAUUUCUACAAACAAAAUUAAAUACCUAGGAAUACAACUUACAUGGGAUGUGAAGGACCUCUUCAAGGAGAACUACAAACCGCUGCUCAAGGAAAUAAGAGAGGACACAAACAAAUAGAAAAACAUUCCAUGCUUAUGGAUAGGAAGAAUCAGUAUUGUGAAAAUGGGCAUACUGCAGAGUAAUUUAUAGGUUCAAUGCUAUCCCCAUCAAGUUACCAUUAACAAUCUUCACAGAAUUAGAAAAAACUACUUUAAAUUUCAUAUGGAACCAAAAAAGAGCCCAGAUAGCCAAGACAAUUCUAAGCAAAAAGAACAAAGCUGGAGGCAUCACACUACCUGACUUCAAACUACAAUGCUACAGUAACCAAAACAGCAUGAUACUGGUACCAAAACAGAUAUAUAGAUCAAUGGAACAGAACAGAGGCCUCGGAAAUAACACCACAUGUCUACAACCAUCUGAUCUUUGACAGACCUGACAAAAACAAGCAAUGGGAAAUGGAUUCCCUAUUUAAUAAAUGAUGUUGGGAAAGCUGGCUAGCCAUAUGCAGAAAACUGAAACUGGACCCUUUCCUUACACCUUAUACAAAAAUUAACUCAAGAUGGAUUAAAGACUUAAAUGUAAGACCUAAAACUGUAAAAACUCUAGAAGAAAACCUAGGCAAUGCCAUUCAGGACAUAGGCGUGGGCAAAGACUUCAUGACUAAAACACCAAAAGCAAUGGCAACAAGAGCCAAAAUUGACAAAUGGGAUCUAAUUAAAGAGCUUCUGCACAGCAAAAGAAACUAUCAUCAGAGUGAACAGGCAACCUACAGAAUGAGAGAAAAUUUUUGCAAUCUGUCCAUCUGACGUAGGGUUAAUAUCCAGAAUCUACAAAGGACUUAAACAGAUUUACAAGAAAAAAACAACCCCAUCAAAAAGUGGGUGAAGGAUAUGAACAGACACUUCUCAAAAGACAUUUAUGCAGCCAACAAACAUGAAAAAAAGCUCAUCAUCGCUGGUGAUUAGAGAAAUGCAAAUCAAAACCACAGUGAGAUACCACCUCAUACCAUUUAGAAUGGCAAGCAUUAAAAAGUCAGGAAACAACAGAUGCUGGAGAGGAUGUGGAGAAAUAGGAAUGAUUUUAUACUGUUGUUGGGAGUGUAAAUUAGUUCAACUAUCGUGGAAGACAGUGUGGUGAUUCCUCAAGGAUCUAGAACUAGAAAUACCAUUUGACCUAGCAAUCCCAUUACUAGGUAUAUACCCAAAGGAUUAUAAAUCAUUCUACUAUACGGACACUUGCAUAUGUGUGUUUUUUGUGGCACUAUUCACAAUAGCAAAGACUUGGAACGAACGUAAAUGCCCAUCAAUGAUAGACUGGUUAAAGAAAAUGUGGUACAUAUGCACCAUGGAAUACUAUGCAGCCAUAAAAAAGGAUGAGUUCAUGUCCUUUGCCAGGACGUGGAUGAAACUGGAAACCAUCAUUCUCAGCAAACUAACACAACAGAAAACCAAACAUUGCAUGUUCUCACUCAUAAGUGGGAGUUGGACAAUGAGAACACAUGGACACAGGAAGGGGAACAUCUCACACCAGGGCCUGUCAUAGGGUGGUGGAGUAGGGGAGAGAUAGCAUUAGGAGAAAUACCUUAUGUAGAUGAUGGGUUGAUGGGUGCAGCAAACCACCAUGGCACAUGUAUACCUAUGUAACAAACCUGCAUGUUCUGUAAGUGUACCCCAGAACUUAAAGUAUAAUAAAAAAAAAUUGUCGACUAUAGUCACCCUGUUGUACAUCAAAUACUCGAUCUUAUUCAUUCUAAUUACAUUUUUGUAUGCAUUAUUUGAAGAAAUUUAUCCACUCUGCCAAUCUCUGCCAUUUUUCUUAUUUAUUUAAUCCUAAUUUCUCUUUUAAGACCAAAUGCAGAUGAAAAAUUGGCUUAUAAUCUUUUAACAGUUCCCUUGUUUGUCGUGCAUCACAUUUCAACCCAAAGGAUUCCCUUUAGCAUUCCUUGCAGAGUAGAUCUAGUAAAAACAUACUCCCUUAGCUUGUGUUCAUCUGGGAAUGUCGUCAUUAUUGACAGGCAUGUUUGCCGGGCAUAGAAUUCUCAGCUGACAGCUUUUUCUUUCAGCACUUUGAAUAUAUCAAUCCAGUGCCUUCUAAUC